GUUUAACAAACCCUGUGCACAUGUGAGUACGAGAUGAAGGUAAAGCAGUGUUGAUUAAAACUUUCAACAUCGAAUUACCAUUACCUGGAAAGAAGGUCAGACAUGAAGAAAAAGCAAACAGUUCUAGAGGACACAGGAGAGAUGAUUCCCUCGGGGGAAGAUGAGGCUCCCGUUAAAGCAAAAAGGAGCAAACCUGGAGAGGCUGCAGGGGAGGAGGUGGUCUAUCACCCGGUGAAGCUGUCCCGAAGUGACCUGUACAGACCUCCAUCCGCAGAGGAGCUAAACCAGCUGAAGGAGGCGGAAAGCUUGUUUCACUGCAGCCUGCUGAAAAUGCAGAUGGAGGAGCUGCUGAAGGAGGUCGCCCUCAGUGAGCGUAGGAAACAGCAAAUAGACUCCUUCAUUCAGACAGUCACCAAGCUGUUCCAGACUGUGCCAGAUUCACCAGAGGUGGAGGUUAGUGAUCUGUCGUGGCUGUCUAGUGCGAUUAAGGUCCCAUUCCUCCUGGUGCCCAAAACAACAAAGGGCAAGUUCCACAUGGCACCUCCUGCUUCUGUUGACCUGAUUGGCAGCUACCCUCUGGGCACCUGCACCAAACCACGCGUUAUGGUGGACCUGGCUGUCACAAUCCCAGCUGAUGUCCUCCACCCAAAGGACGUCUUGAACCAGAGGUAUCCGAGGAAAAGGGCACUCUACCUGGCAGGCCUGGCCGAGUAUCUCACAUCCUCGUCUGACAUUGGAACCAUGCGUUAUUCCUGUCUGCAUGGGAACCGACUCCGACCUGUUCUGCUGCUGACCCCUCCAGGUAAAGAGUCCUCCAGCUUUACUGUACGUGUUCAUGCCUGUCCUCCUCCUGGAUUCUUCAAACCCAACCGUUUCCACCCCCAGAAGAGUAAUAUCCGGACAGAGUGGUACACCGGAUUGCAGAGCUCCCUUUCUGAGGGCAGCGAACCUCCCACUCCACAUUACAAUAGCUCUAUUCUGGGGGAUUUACUGCCCAGGGCUCACCUCCAGUUUCUGUCUGCUGUCAGCUCCCAGUGCUCAGCGUUUGCUGAUGGGGUGGCUUUGCUCAAAGUCUGGCUACGUCAAAGGGAGCUCGACCAGGGCACCGGUUGUUUUAAUGGCUUCCUGGCUUCAAUGCUGUUGACUUACUUGCUGACCACUCACAGAAUCAGCAACACCAUGACAGCCUAUCAGCUGCUGCGAAACAGCUUGAACUUCCUGGCCUCUACAGACCUCACAGUUAAUGGAAUUAGCCUCGCCAAAGAUCCUGACUCUACGGCUCCAUCUCUGGCAGAGUUCCACAACGCUUUCCAGGUCGUGUUUGUCGACCCUUCAGGACAUCUCAACAUGUGUGCCGACAUGACCGCUUGUACCUACAAACAGCUGCAGCACGAGGCAUCUGUGUCGAUGCAGUUCUGGGACGACCCUACAGUGGAUGGGUUCCACAGCCUCCUCAUGACGCCCAAACCCAUGAUAAGGACAAGCGACCACGUAUUCCAGCUAUGUGAGCUGGUGAAGCUUCAGUCCAGCUGUAAGAAACUGAAUCUCCUCAGUGAGCUGAUGGACCACAGUGGGAAUUAUGUCCAUGCUGCGCUCCCUUUUAUUCUGACACUGCUUCAGCAAGGACUGGGCCAAAGGAUCCACCUCCUCACGCACUCCCUCUCUCCUGACCCAGAGUGGUCGGUGGAGAGUGAAGCUCCAAAACACAAAGCCCAACCUCCUCUCUCCUUCGGUUUGCUCUUAAGGCCGGAGCUGGCAGCCUCUGUCCUGGAAAGAGGACCACCUGCAGACAGCCCCAAGGCAGCUGAGUUUCGCCAGCUGUGGGGUUCUCGCUCCGAGCUACGUCGUUUCCAGGACGGUGCCAUCACCGAGGCUGUGCUGUGGGAGGGAACGAGCAUGUGCCAAAAACAACUGGUGCCCAGACAGAUCAUCACACACCUGCUGGAGCUACAUGCUGAUAUCCCCGAAUCCUGCGUGCGCUACGUGGGGGCGACGGUGGAUGACGUCAUCAAAACGGGAAGUGAGGUGCCGAGUACUGGAGAGGAGGAGAGUUUAGUGGUGGUUCAGUCCUAUGAUGACCUGAGUAGGAAACUGUGGAGGCUGGAGGGUCUGCCUCUCUCCAUCACAGCUGUGCAAGGUGCCCACCCUGCACUCAGAUACACACAGGUGUUUCCCCCUGUACCAGUGAAGCUGGACUAUUCCUUCUUUGACAGAGAAAAGAUGUCUAGAUCAUUGGUGCCAAAGGAAGACAAACCCUGCCCUGCUUAUAUCACACCUAUCACAGUGAUCUGUCACAUGGAGGGGAGUGGAAAGUGGCCUCACGACCGCCUCGCCAUCCGCCACAUCCGAGCUGCCUUCCACAUCCACCUGGGAGAGUUACUCAAGAAGCACCACAAUUAUACUUGCAGGCCCUGCCCCACACACCUGGAUGUCUGGAAGGACGGCUUGGUGUUCCGCAUCCAGGUGGCGUACCAUCGUGAGCCUCAGGUGCUGAGGGAGAGUGUAAAUGCUGAGGGGCUGCUGGUUGUAAGGGACAACGAGGAGGCUCAGGCUCUGGAGAUGGCCACCGUUCACAAGCCUCUACUUACCAGCACAUUGCAUGGUCUCCAGCAGCAGCACCCAUGUUUCGGGGCAGUGUGUCGCCUGGCCAAACGCUGGCUCGGCGCUCAGCUCUUCAGUGAAGACAUCACAGAGGACACGGCAGACCUGCUGGUGGCGUCGCUUUUCCUGCGGCCUGCACCCUUUACUCCUCCCGGUUCUCCUCAGGUCGGCUUCCUUCGUUUCCUUCAUCUGCUUUCCUCCUUUGACUGGAGGAACAACCCGCUGGUAGUCAACCUCAACAACCAGCUCACAGCUGCCGACUACACAGAGAUCAAGAAUGACUUCAUGGCCUCCAGGGAGUCUCUACCUGUCAUGUUUAUAGCUACGCCUAAAGACAAAACAGUGUCUAUGUGGACCAAGAGGGCACCUAGCGUACAGAUGCUGCAGCGUGUGGUGAUGCUGGCUGCAGAGAGUCUUAAGGUGCUGGAACAUCAGCUGAUGGACGGCAGCCAGAUGCAAGAUGUCAGGGUGGUCAUGCGCCCUCCCCUGGAUGCCUACGAUGUGCUGAUUCACCUGACCCCCAAGCAGGUUCCGCUGCUCGGCCUGGCAGUCGACCCUCCGGCCGUCACCUUCAACAGGGGCGUCUUGACUGGCAGUGCGACCCAGUCUGGAGGGGCCCUGCCCGUCAUCGACUACAACCCCGUGUCCCUCUACCUGGCAGAGCUCAGAGUGAGUCUCGUCUGUUUGGGAUGUUAAGAGGAAGGUGUGGCAUUAAUAACGGCUUGUUGAUAGAAGAUGCGAGGAAAGCUAUGUGACAGUGUUUAUACAUGCAUGUUGCAGCUGGGCUGUUCAGGACAGAAGUAUGCUCUUAUACUCUAUGUGACGGCCAGCAGGUUCCUGCCAAUAAAGAUUAAUCAUAUCAUCAGAUAAAUACCCAGCGAAACAUAAGCUGUACAUACGUUGUUCAACUUAAUGUUGUCUGCGUUCUUCACCCUCUCACACACAGCUCACCUUCUCAUGCACAUAUCAUAUGUUUACGGAUGUUUCUCAGACACUGUCUUGACUUGUUUUUCAGCAAACUUGGCAUGAGUACAAUUCUUUCUUUCAGUGUCUCUUCUCCCCUUCUUUCUCGGUGUCUUCCAUUGAAGCAAUGAAAGGACCUGGGCUGUAUUAUGCAACCAGCGCAUGUCUGUUUGGUGCACUGCGUGACUGAAUAGACACCCAGUCAUUAAUGAUGAGUCAAAGCAGUGAGUCCAGGAACUGAUUACUCGACUCAGCUUAUCACACAGAUGUUGGUAAAUGUAACAACCUGUGGAGGAAGUAAACUGAAAUAACUGGAGGCCUUUGGAGACCUAGCCCUCUUCUUCUGUGAUCCCUAUGGUGGAACAGUGAUCGCAGUCUUAUGGAAGCCAAAGGCCUUCACCCCAGUGCCCUUGAAGACGUCGCAGGUGUCUGCUCGGAGCGUGGAG